rnacentral:rRNA from 1 species
AGUGAACGCUGGCGGUAGGCCUAACACAUGCAAGUCGAACGGCAGCACAGUAAGAGCUUGCUCUUACGGGUGGCGAGUGGCGGACGGGUGAGGAAUACAUCGGAAUCUACUUUUUCGUGGGGGAUAACGUAGGGAAACUUACGCUAAUACCGCAUACGACCUACGGGUGAAAGCAGGGGAUCUUCGGACCUUGCGCGAUUGAAUGAGCCGAUGUCGGAUUGGCUAGUUGGCGGGGUAAAGGCCCACCAAGGCGACGAUCCGUAGCUGGUCUGAGAGGAUGAUCAGCCACACUGGAACUGAGACACGGUCCAGACUCCUACGGGAGGCAGCAGUGGGGAAUAUUGGACAAUGGGCGCAAGCCUGAUCCAGCCAUACCGCGUGGGUGAAGAAGGCCUUCGGGUUGUAAAGCCCUUUUGUCGGGAAAGAAAAGCAGCAGGUUAAUACCCCGCUGUUCUGACGGUACCCAAAGAAUAAGCACCGGCUAACUUCGUG